rnacentral:rRNA from 1 species
CCUACGGGGGGCAGCAGUGGGGAAUAUUGGACAAUGGGGGCAACCCUGAUCCAGCCAUGCCGCGUGUGUGAAGAAGGCCCUCGGGUUGUAAAGCACUUUCAGUGAGGAAGAACGCCUGGUGGUUAAUACCCAUCAGGAAAGACAUCACUCACAGAAGAAGCACCGGCUAACUCCGUGCCAGCAGCCGCGGUAAUACGGAGGGUGCGAGCGUUAAUCGGAAUUACUGGGCGUAAAGCGCGCGUAGGUGGCUUGAUAAGCCGGUUGUGAAAGCCCCGGGCUCAACCUGGGAACGGCAUCCGGAACUGUCAAGCUAGAGUGCAGGAGAGGAAGGUAGAAUUCCCGGUGUAGCGGUGAAAUGCGUAGAGAUCGGGAGGAAUACUAGUGGCGAAGGCGGCCUUCUGGACUGACACUGACACUGAGGUGCGAAAGCGUGGGUAGCAAACAGGAUUAGAUACCCGUGUAGUC